GGCUCAGGAUGAACGCUAGCGGCAGGCUUAAUACAUGCAAGUCGUGGGGCAGCAUGAGUAGCAAUACUUGAUGGCGACCGGGCAAACGGGUGAGGAACACGUACACAACCUUCCUUCAAGCGGGGAAUAGCCCAGAGAAAUUUGGAUUAAUACCCCAUAAUAUAUUUGAUAAGGCAUCUUAUUAAUAUUAAAGCUUCGGCACUUGAUGAUGGGUGUGCGGCUGAUUAGAUAGUUGGCGGGUAACGGCCCACCAAGUCUACGAUCAGUAGCUGAUGUGAGAGCAUGAUCAGCCACACGGGCACUGAGACACGGGCCCGACUCCUACGGGAGGCAGCAGUAAGGAAUAUUGGACAAUGGACGAAAGUCUGAUCCAGCCAUGCCCGCGUGAAGGAUUAAGGUCCUCUGGAUUGUAAACUUCUUUUAUAUGGGACGAAAAAAGGGCAUUCUUGUUCACUUGACGGUACCAUAUGAAUAAGCACCGGCUAACUCCGUG
rnacentral:rRNA from 1 species